AAAUAGAACUUUGCAGAGAGAGUUAACAGGGCGUGAAACCGUUAAUUGGCAAACGAAUCGGAGCCACGAAGUCGUUUCGCUGAUAAGUUGGGCCAAGUUCAGCUUAGGAGAGAUCCUGGGUGUAUUCUUGUUAGUCCAACCAUCAUUGUAAGCGUACACUGCAACCAGUUAGACGAUUGGAGAUGGGCUCAGUUUGCCUGGGUUAGUAGUAGCAUGUUUGUGCUUCGGUGCUAGUGUGUUGCUGGGCUCAUGGUAAGUGAACUAUUUCCAAAUACUGACUGGCAAAAUGAAAAUCGCCUUGUGCGUUGCAUAGAAGGCAACAGUUUGCAUUUGUAUCUACAUCCUCGACCAUGGGGUUUUAAGCUCAGCAUUUUCGAAUUUGGACUUGCUGGCUACCAAUGGGGCAACUCUUGGUGCCAGUAUAGCUUUCAUCUAAUCAGGUGUUGACUUGAUCCUGUGUCGUUCGGUGGUGCUACGAUAGGGUAUGAAUGUAAGAUUGUUUGCCAUAGAUUGGCAGUGAGUAGGUCGGCUUUCCGAACGACCCGUCUUGAAACACGGACCAAGGAGUCUAAUUAGGCAUCAAGUCGAUCGGUCUUGAAUAGGCCAGACGGGUGGAUUCCCACCGAUUGAAGGCGUAGAGACAUGUGAUCAUGGGGGCAAACCAGCCCUUAUGCGCAACAUGUGCCUGUUCGUAUAGUAAUGUAGUAAUAAUUACUGGGCGGAGCAAAGAGAUGCCUGAUUGGUACCCGAAAGAUGGUGAUGCUUGGGCAAAUUGAAGCCAGAGGAAACUCUGGUGGAGGAUUUAGUCUGACGUGCAAAUCGAUCGUCAGACCUGAGUAUAGGGGCGAAAGACUAAUCGAACCAUC
rnacentral:rRNA from 1 species